rnacentral:rRNA from 1 species
UACGUAGGUGGCAAGCGUUGUCCGGAUUUAUUGGGUUUAAAGGGUGCGUAGGCGGUCCUUUAAGUCAGUGCUGAAAUACUCUAGCUUAACUAGAGGGGUGGCAUUGAUACUGGAGGACUUGAGUGAAGUCGAGGUAGGCGGAAUUGACGGUGUAGCGGUGAAAUGCUUAGAUAUCGUCAAGAACACCGAUAGUGAAGACAGCUUACUAGGCUUAGAUUGACGCUGAGGCACGAAAGUGUGGGGAUCAAACAGG